GGAGCUAUAGCUCAGUGGCAGAGUGUGUGCUUAGCAUGCACGAGGUCCUAGGUUCAAUCCUCAGUACCUACC
rnacentral:tRNA from 1 species